rnacentral:rRNA from 1 species
GACGAACGCUGGCGGCGUGCUUAACACAUGCAAGUCGAACGGAAAGGCCCUGCUCUUGUGGGGUGCUCGAGUGGCGAACGGGUGAGUAACACGUGAGUAACCUGCCCUUGACUUUGGGAUAACUUCAGGAAACUGGGGCUAAUACCGGAUAGGAGCUCCUGCUGCAUGGUGGGGGUUGGAAAGUGUCGGGGGUUGGGGAUGGACUCGCGGCUUAUCAGCUUGUUGGUGGGGUAGUGGCUUACCAAGGCUGUGACGGGUAGCCGGCCUGAGAGGGUGACCGGCCAAAUUGGGACUGGGAUACGGCCGAGGCGCCUACGGGAGGCAGGAGUGGAGAAUAUUGGAGAAUGGGCGGAAGCCUGAUGCAGGAACGCCGCGUGCGGGAUGACGGCCUUCGGGUUGUAAACCGCUUUCGCCUGUGACGAAGCGUGAGUGACGGUAAUGGGUAAAGAAGCACCGGCUAACUACG